UGAGGAAUCUUGCGCAAUGGGGGAAACCCUGACGCAGCAACGCCGCGUGAGUGAGGAAGGUCUUCGGAUCGUAAAGCUCUGUCAGUUGGAAAGAAAUGUCUGAGAGUCAAUCCCUUUCAGGCUUGACGGUACCAACGGAGGAAGCACCGGCUAACUCCGUGCCAGCAGCCGCGGUAAUACGGGGGGUGCAAGCGUUGUUCGGAAUUAUUGGGCGUAAAGAGCGUGUAGGCGGCCGGAUAUGUCAGAUGUGAAAGCCCCGGGCUUAACCCGGGAAGUGCAUUUGAAACUGUCCGGCUCGAGUAGGGGAGAGGGAAGUGGAAUUCCUGGUGUAGAGGUGAAAUUCGUAGAUAUCAGGAGGAACACCGGUGGCGAAGGCGACUUCCUGGCCCUAUACUGACGCUGAGACGCGAGAGCGUGGGUAGCAAACAGG
rnacentral:rRNA from 1 species